CCUACGGGUGGCAGCAGUAGGGAAUCUUCCACAAUGGACGAAAGUCUGAUGGAGCAACGCCGCGUGAGUGAAGAAGGGUUUCGGCUCGUAAAGCUCUGUUGGUAGUGAAGAAAGAUAGAGGUAGUAACUGGCCUUUAUUUUACGUUACUUACUUAGACAGUCCCGGCUCACUACGUGCCAGCAGCCGCGUUAAUACGUAGGUGGCAAGCGUUGUCCGGUUUUAUUGGGCGUAAAGCGAGUGCAGGCGGUUCAAUAAGUCUGAUGUGAAAGCCGUCGGCUCAACCGGAGAAUUGCAUCAGAAACUGUUGAACUUGAGUGCAGAAGAGGAGAGUGGAACUCCAUGUGUAGCGGUGGAAUGCGUAGAUAUAUGGAAGAACACCAGUGGCGAAGGCGGCUCGCUGGGCUGCAACUGACGCUGAGGCUCGAAAGCAUGGGUAGCGAACAGGAUUAGAUACCCGUGUAGUC
rnacentral:rRNA from 1 species